UGUCCUUCGCGAAUCUUUUUGCGGUCUGGGCUUGCUGUACAUAACUAUCAAGCUGGGAAGCCCUUACCCCAAAAAGCAUUGGCGGAGGGCG
rnacentral:pre_miRNA from 1 species